rnacentral:rRNA from 1 species
AUCGGGUAAUGCCGGGCACUCUGGAAGGACUAGCCAUCGACAAGAAUGGAGGAAGGUGGGGAGUGAACGUCAAGUCAUCAUGGCCCUUAUGUCCAGGGCGACACACGUGCUACAAUGGCCGGCACAACGGGAAGCGAGUUCGCGAGGACGAGCGGAUCCCUCAAAGCCGGUCGCAGUUCGGAUUGAAGUCUGCAACUCGACUUCAUGAAGCUGGAAUCGCUAGUAAUCGUGGAUCAGCCAAGCCGCGGUGGAUACGUUCCCGGGCCUU